UCUCUCUCUCUCUCUCUCUCGCUUUGUUUUAUCUAACGUUAGCACCGCUCCACAUAGCGCUCUAGGAUACUGUAGCAGUAGCUGUUGUUAUAGCAACAAAAGACGCUCUUGGCUGCUUUUUGGAACCAAAACGCUAACAUCUUAUUGUUUUUUUACUACACAAG